rnacentral:rRNA from 1 species
GCUAAACGCGAAGAACCUUACCUAGGUUGAACUAUGCAGGAAAAGCCACAGAGAUGUGGUGUCCUUCGGGGCCUGCGAUAGGUGGUGCAUGGCUGUCGUCAGCUCGUGUCGUGAGAUGUUGGGUUAAGUCCCGCAACGAGCGCAACCCUUGUCCUAUGUUGCCAGCGGGUAAAGCCGGGGACUCGUAGGAGACUGCCGGGGUCAACUCGGAGGAAGGUGGGGACGACGUCAAGUCAUCAUGCCCCUUAUGUCUAGGGCUGCAAACAUGCUACAAUGGCCGGUACAGAGGGCUGCGAAACCGCGAGGUCGAGCGAAUCCCAAAAAGCCGGUCUCAGUUCGGAUUGAAGUCUGCAACUCGACUUCAUGAAGCUGGAGUCGCUAGUAAUCCCGGAUCAGCAACGCCGGGGUGAAUACGUUCCCGGGUCUUGUACACACCG